GAAAAAGUUACAUCUGUCCACACAGAAAAUUGCAUCUCAACAAACCUGUCAUUGGUACCUGAACUACAUUUCAGUCACUCAGUAAAGUGAUAAUUCAAAAUAUCAUUGUCAACAGAUCUGAAGAAAUUGCCAGUCUUUAGACCGUUUUCGUCAGACGACAGACGCAGUUCUGACUGAUUACUGGUUGCUGUACAUAUCUAUCCACAUCAAGGCUGUUGAGAGAGACUCGUGAAGAUUCAAGACAGCUCUUAGAGGAUUUGCAGUUUAAAAGUGAAAUAAUUAUGAAAUAAGUGUGUGACUGAUUAAAGUGUUUUAUUGAAGUUGUUGUGCGAUUUUAAAGGAAUAAUAAAUGUUAAAUAC